ensembl:lncRNA
AAUGAGUUCAAGGCCAGCUGGAAUAUACAGUGAAACCUUGUCUCAAAAAAAAUUUUGUUUUUUUAAAUAACUUGUGGCAGUUUAUUUUGCUGAGCCAUUUCAGCUUCUUGAUGGAAUGCAGUGAGGGCAUAUAUGAGUCAGGAAAUUAUUCUACCCUUAGAAAAGUCAAGUGCUUCAUCUCAGUUAAUGUUGCUUUUAACAGAGGAAAUCGUGUGACCUCAUCCUCAAAGCUCUGUGACAUCCAUUGGCCAAUCUCAAGGUGUGGAUAGAAUUGUGUAGAGAAGUAUCUUAAAGCCAUCUAUUAGGCUUGUACUCCUAUGCCAAGUCUUGCUAUGUGUGGAAACCAGCUAUCUCAAGGAUCAGUGUUCUUUUAGGACUAAAAACACAUUAGCAUUUACAUCCGAGUGCUGCUGAUUCAGCAGGCCAGAGUAUCACGCAGGAGCUCAGUCCCCUGAUCUCUGCAGAGAGCUCUUCCCACAUAGUCACUUUUCAAAUGAAAAUCAACUCCUGAAAAUGAUGUCCAAGUAGUUGGCACUCUUUCCUUUUUUCCUAGAAUCUUCUUAGGUUGAAUCAUAUGUAUAUGCAACUGUAUCAGUUAGUGCCUACUGGAAAAACAGAUUUAAUGCAAGAUACACAAAUACACAGAAUUCCAAGAUUGGCUUACAGUGGCUGCCCACAGAGUCAGGUGUGGAAGAGUGCAAAGGGCUGUCUGUCGCUGGAGAGCCAAAGGAUCCAGUGGAAGGCCUGGAGCCCACUGUAGUGUUCCAUGAGAGUCCAUAUCAGGGGGCCUAAGGAAGCCAGAUGACAUCCAAGGGGAAGGCUACCAUGAGGUGAGCAGCUUUGCCCCACCAUGUCCCCCACCAUGAUGUUCUACCUCUCCGCAGUGACUCGUGUGAGCUGUACACUUCCUUUAAAAGACGGAAUAAUGCUAUAUAUGUAUAAUAGAUCACAUUUUCUUUAUCUGUUGAUAAGCAUUUAAGUUACUUCUGCAACUUUUUGCUAUUUGAGUAAUGCUACAAAUGUGAAAAUUUCUGGGUGUGCAAAUACCUCUGUGAGAUUCUAUUUUCAGUUCUUUUGCGUAUAUACCUAUAAGUGGAAUUCCUGUGUCACAUGGCAGUUUUUGUUUUUAUGGUACAGGGGAUUGAACCUGGGCCCUUCACACAGAGAUACAUCCCCAUCCCUCUUUAUUUUUAUUUUUUAUUUUGAGACAGGGUCUCACUAAAUCAUUAAGUUGCCCAGUCUGGGCUCAAACUUGCAAUCCUCCUACCUUAGCCUCCCACAGUGCUGGGAUUACAUAUGUGUGUUACUACACCUGGCUCUAUUUUUAAUUUUUUGAGGAACCUCCACACCACACUGCACAGAGACACAUCAUCUUACAUUCCCACCAGUAGUACACCAGGGUUCCUAUUUCUCCACAUCAUACCAACACUAGUGUUCUGUUUUGAUGGUAGCUAUCCUAAAAGGUAGAAGUAUCUCCCUGUGGUCUUGAUUUUAAUUUUCCUGAUGAUUGGUGAUGUUGAGCAUAUUUUCAUGUGUACAUUGGCUACGUGAAUAUCUUCUUUGGGUAAAUGUUUAUUGAAGUCCUUUGCUCAUUUCUAAGUUGGGUUAUUUGUUUUCUUGUUAUGGAGUUGUAUAAAGUAUAUAUUCAGG